rnacentral:rRNA from 1 species
GACGAACGCUGGCGGCGUGCUUAACACAUGCAAGUCGAACGGAAAGGCCCUGCUUUUGUGGGGUGCUCGAGUGGCGAACGGGUGAGUAACACGUGAGUAACCUGCCCUUGACUUUGGGAUAACUUCAGGAAACUGGGGCUAAUACCGGAUAGGAGCUCCUGCUGCAUGGUGGGGGUUGGAAAGUUUCGGCGGUUGGGGAUGGACUCGCGGCUUAUCAGCUUGUUGGUGGGGUAGUGGCUUACCAAGGCUUUGACGGGUAGCCGGCCUGGGAGGGUGACCGGCCACAUGGGGACUGAGAGAGGGACCAGACUCCUACGGGAGGCAGCAGUGGGGAAUAUUGCACAAUGGGCGGAAGCCUGAGGCAGCAACGCCGCGUGCGUGAUGACGGCCUUCGGGUUGUAAACCGCUUUCGCAUGUGACGAAGCGUGAGUGACGGUAAUGGGUAAAGAAGCACCGGCUAACUACGUG